rnacentral:rRNA from 1 species
AUUGCCUCAGUAACGGCGAGUGAAGCGGCAACAGCUCAAAUUUGAAAUCUGGCCCCAGGCCCGAGUUGUAAUUUGCAGAGGAUGCUUUUGGCGCGGUGCCUUCCGAGUUUCCUGGAACGGGACGCCAUAGAGGGUGAGAGCCCCGUCUGGUUGGACACCAAGCCUCUGUAAAGCUCCUUCGACGAGUCGAGUAGUUUGGGAAUGCUGCUCAAAAUGGGAGGUAUAUGUCUUCUAAAGCUAAAUACCGGCCAGAGACCGAUAGCGCACAAGUAGAGUGAUCGAAAGAUGAAAAGCACUUUGAAAAGAGAGUUAAAUAGCACGUGAAAUUGUUAAAAGGGAAGCGUUUAUGACCAGACUUGGGCCGGUUAAUCAUCCAGCGUUCUCGCUGGUGCACUUUGCCGGUCCAGGCCAGCAUCAGUUCGUCGCGGGGGAUAAAGGCGUCGGGAAUGUGGCUCCUCGGAGUGUUAUAGCCCUUCGCGCAAUACCCUGCGGUGGACUGAGGUUCGCGCUCUGCAAGGAUGCUGGCGUAAUGGUCAUCAACGACCCGUCUUGAAACACGGACCAAGGAGUCGUCUUCGUAUGCGAGUGUUCGGGUGUAAAACCCCUACGCGUAAUGAAAGUGAACGCAGGUGAGAGCUUCGGCGCAUCAUCGACCGAUCCUGAUGUUCUCGGAUGGAUUUGAGUAAGAGCAUACGGGGCCGGACCCGAAAGAAGGUGAACUAUGCCUGUAUAGGGUGAAGCCAGAGGAAACUCUGGUGGAGGCUCGCAGCGGUUCUGACGUGCAAAUCGAUCGUC